rnacentral:tRNA from 1 species
UGCCUGGUGGUCCAGUGGCUAAGACUCUAUGCUCCCAAUGCAGGGGGCCCAGGUUCAAUCCCUGGUCAGGGAA